UCUAGACUUUAAUUCUUUCCGUAACAUAUUUUUCAGAGCUAAUCUGAUUUAGGGACAUGACAUAGUUCCUCUCCAGUGUUUCCCCAGAGACUUUGACCUCUUCAGCUCCUGGAUUCCACCCUUCUGACCAUCGCUAAAUAUGAAAACUAUCCACCAUUUACAAAGAUGUUACCACGCUAUUCCCAGCCUCCAGUGUUCCCUCUGAUUUUUUUCCUAGACAUUAACACCUCAUGAAUACAUUUACAUUUCCAUUUAGCUAUAGCUUUACCAGCAUAACUGUAGAUAAGGGCAGCAGCAAACAAUCAUUGAAGCUUAAAGAACGUUUUUUAAAAAAGUGCUAAGGCCUCAUAUUUGUUCUGAAACUGUUUAAUUUGUGGGGAAUACUGUUUAAUUUCAUUGUCAUUUUUUCCUACGCUGACAUAUCUUCCUGAGUUGUUGGGUUUCUUUUCUCCUGUCGCCUGCCCUCGUGCACUCACCAUGGGAGUUUUCAUAGGACACUCAACUUGCUAAAAUUCAUGGAAUUUCUUGGUCCUACUAGUUAGAACAUGAUUUGGUCUUCAUUCAAAAUGAAAGGCAAAUAUUUGUCUGGCAAGGUGACUCUGAGCAUUUACUACGUGUUGCUUAUCCAGUUGAGUCUUGGCAGGUCUCCCUACCCUCAUACAUACUGACUCUCCUCUCCUUUAGCUUCUUAUGCUCACACUCAAGAAAAAACUUACACUGCUGCUGAGACUAGCGAUGCUGAUAUCCAUUCUCUCAGUGAGGGGUAUAAUUCUGCAUUCUUACUCAUGUCUUCACCAUCUGAAACCCAAGUAUCUACCCACAAGAGUAAAUGCACUAAAGACUACGGCUUGUCAGGCAAGACAGUAAAGGAGCCCAUAUAAGUACUUGGCUAAAUAGACAAUAGAGUCCUAAAAUGGGAUAAACUUUCAUCUCGCUCUUGAUGAGGAUAGCACAGCCAUUUCUCUCUGUGGGAUCUUCCAUGAAGAAAUCAGUUCUUGUGAACAUUUCGUUCAGGAAGGACACUGACUGGCGCGUUUCCAGCCAUACGCGGGGACUGCUGAAGCCUCCUGGCAGCGAGCCAGGCCGUGUCACAUCCAGGGGGCCCACUUCGCCUUGUUGGCUUCUAUGUGAUUUUGUUUUCAACUAUGGUGGAUAAAGUUUUCAAGCCUAUGAUUCAUCAGUGCUCUAUGUCAAGCCUACAAAUCUUUGCUUCUGAAAGCCUUCCCUUGCUCCUAAAUUAUAUGCCAGCCAAGGCCAGAAAAGCAGAAUUGUCAUUCAGAGGCUCGCAGAUGCCUCAAGUGAAAAUUACUUAGUGGGGGGUGAUACCUAUACUGUCAACUGAGGAGGGCUUUUUUUAGUUAAGCGUGAUGACAACUGCACCCUAUUUAUACCAAUGAACUUAGGCGUAUCAAAAUAGUAACCUCAAGAGGAGUAUCCUGGGCAAAAACCUCGCACUGCUCAGUUUACGUUUUAAAACAAAUGUUUCUUUAGCUUGCAGUUGAUCACUGGCUACAAAGGUUGGAGAGGUGGUUUGUGGCUUUGACGCCACCCUGAAAACAAGAGAAGCUUUGGGCCCUGGCUCACUCAGGAUUACGGGACUGAUCUGGCAGACUCACACAGGUACAGGUUGCCAUCCCUACAACCAAACACCCACGGUACCGCUGGACAAUUCACUCUGUCUCCAGGGUAAUUUGAGCAGAAAACCACCAUAAGCUACUUUUAAAUAAAUGUCUCUCCCCAGGACCUGGACGAUGCGAAAGGGAUUUAGUCUCAAAGUGUGAAACUUGCAGCCUGGAGCACCAGAAAAAUAGUGUCCUUACAAAGCUAUUCAAAUGGAUUUCCCUCACUGAUUGCUUCAGCCAAAAGUAAAUUAUAAGCCAGACAUUAUCAAAGAAAAUCAUUGUAGCACAUUCCAGUUCAUUCCACUGUACAGCAAGGAUUUGAAUGCAGAGGUGCAGGCCUUCAGUCACAUUUUCAUACUUGCAAGGCAAACUCACACACUACAUUAUUUAUAUAUGUAUACUUUAACUAUCACUUCUGUUAUUUAUUAUGGCAGAGGAUGCCUUCAGGACAUUCUUGAGGGGAUGAGCUGUCUGGCAUGCCUAUAAAAACGAAGCAGCAAAAACAAGUAGAAUUAAACUUAGCAGAACUAUUAAAAGACACCCAGCAGUCAGGCAAAGCUACUGCGGGACAUCUCUGGAAGCUCAUGAAUACAAGAUAAGAGGGGAAGGGGCUGCCAAAUGCCAAGGUGAAAUGUAUGCUCUUGUGUAUAAUUUCAAAUGAAACACUGGGAAACAGAGAAAAAACAGAAAAUUGCUUUGUGUCAGGGGAAAGAAUUACAAGGAGAAAACACAAAUGGUGAGAUAAAUACAGAAGAAAUUCAUGAGAAAAGAGCAUUCUCAAAACUUGGGAAGUAGAGGGGUUUCUCCAGGACAUCCAAAAUUCCACCAAUACAGGAGGAUGAAACGAGCUCUACUUAAAUUAAACGCUUUGCAGCUAAGACCAUGCUGGGAAAACUCCAAGUCAAACUGGAUUCUUUAAAGGUCUUUUAAGAAAUGGUUUGGCCAAGGUUUCCAAAGGCAUCUCAAAAGUCACUGGGCACUUCUAUUCAGGCAUAUAAAUGGGCACGCAUAAGCUAAAAGGGGUUUUUCUGUCAUUAUGUUUGUUUCUUCCAAGUCUUUUGAGGAGGGAUUAUACACAUGGAAAUGAAUCUUCGUCUGUGUGGCAUUUACCCCACAAUAUCGGGAACUGACGGCCAUCAUAUGUGCUCGAUGACAUGGGGACACGUCAUCCUAACCUUCAAAUAAAUCUGGACUGACACCCACAAGACAUGCAGCUCCAGAGGAGCUCAGCUAACUGCUUAUUCAGUGUCUUCGUGUAUUUCCCUGGUGCCACACUCAAGAGAGACAGAGGGGACAGAGAGAAGUUAAUCUCCAAAAUCAGUGAGGGACUACUGGGUAUGAUAUGGGUUGGACCUUUCAGCCCUGUGUUGCUCAGUUUCCAUAGCCUGGCAGCUCUCACAGGGCUCAGCACACAUGGAUCUGUUUCUUCUUUCAACCACAACCUGCAUUUGGUCACCAGGGAGGAGAACCCGGGACAUGCAUUGGCAUCAGCUUUCUUAUCAAGCUGCUGGGAAAAGCUCCACAUCAGCUGUGUCUUCUAUGGCACAGGGACCUGCCCCACCUAGAGCAAGCAGUGACACCGAAGUGAGAGCCACCAAGGGAAGACUGCUUUGAAAACGAGAAAGGCCCAUGGUGGAGGCCGUAUGAGGGACAUGUGGAGUCAGGAUGCCCGUGUCCCAGCCGGUGGGCCACUUGAGCAAGGACACAGCCCUGCAGUUGGACACCACCCUCCUCCUCGCCCACCCCUCAGGAGGCUUCCUCCUCUUUUCCACUUCAGUCCUCGGUGCUUCCAGAUGUAAUGUGGGCCACAUCUGGAUUUGACCUGAAAGGACAUUCCCAGGGACACAACGAUGCCCAAACAACCAUGGCCUCUUUAGAUCUCAUUACAUUUCAGAUGUGAUCCUCUACAGCUGUAUGACAUAUGCAAACUCUGCAUAUCACACUCAAGUCUCCGAUAAGGAAACAGCUGCUUCUGCAAGUCUUGCAUUUGGCUGUAACCAGUGUGUUAUGACAGUUUGGCUCCCACUAAAUUCUCCCUACCCUUGGCACACUUGGGAUAGUACCCAGCUCCUCUCCCAUAUCCCAAAAGAAGGAAGAUUUUAUUCUGAAUCCAUGAGAAGAGAUAGGUCUUUUCAGGUGUUUAUGGUAUAUAGCUCAGGUUUAUGAAGAUUAACAUUAAUAGCAUUUAAAUAUCUAACACUGAUAGCUCACUGAGGAGGUACCAUCACAUCUUCUGGAGCGCGCUGGACUGACAGCCUGCGAUAUUUGCCUUAUAUAUCACCCCUGCCACAUGGUAGCACUGAGCCAGCCUCGCCAAAGUCAAUAAAGUGCCAUCAAGGCUCAGGGUAAAUUUUAACCGGAAUAGCAGUAAUUGUGCCUGUCACCCUCUGGAGAUGUAGACAAAGCAAAACCCUCUGAUACUGGUUAAGGACCUUUAAUCUGCAGGGCAGACUGGCCCUGGAAAAUCCUCAGACUGAAUGAGAUUGUCCCAAGGAGCUGCUGGGGGACAGGACAGGAGCUGCACAAAGCGGAGCAAAAGGUUGUUCCCGUUCUGAGAUAUGCUAAGAGACUUUUCCAUUAUUACUUCCAAACCGGAUAAGAACAAGUCUUUUCCUGCCAUCUGAAACGCAUUCUAUUAGUGUAACACUGGUUUAGGGAGGGAAAAAAAAAGACUAUUAAAAAACUUCUCCUCCAGCCCAGGAAACAUUGUGGAAAACAGAUUUUGUCAUGCGAGCACUGGAGCAGAGGCGGGUGUUUUUAACCAACAAGAUGAUUUUUGUGCUCAUCAAAUGGACUAUGUAUUUCAAAAUUAGUAGUUAAUAAUAAAAUGUCAAAGGGUGAAGGAAGUGCAGGUUCCUCCACAUAGCCAGGUCCCUGUUUGGGAGUUUCUGAGCAGUUUCCACAUCCAUUUGCUAUUCAACCACGCUGCCAAAACAGCCAAUAAAUGGAGCAGUCAUAGUCAUGCUUUGUAUGCUAUUCAUCCCCGGUCACUCUGUAUCGGACAGACGCAACUCAUUCAUUUCAUAAGGCCACCAAACAGAAGCCGGGUGGUGGAGGCAUCCGGUCCCUGCUGAGUUGGCUCAGGUCUUCCUCACCAUGAGGGUCUCCAUACACCACUAUUGGCCCUUGGAACUGCUGAGCUGCCGAAAUCCGUGUUCCUUUCUUCCGAUUAAUGAAACAGAACCACAUUGUCAAGGAAAUGCUCACAGUGAUCUAAUAGGUCAUUCCUAUCUUUAACUUCUAUCACUCAGAAUAAAAAGAAAUUAUUUUCCAAUUGCUUGAAAGUUCGCAUUGUGAGCAAAAUAAAGCAAAGUUCACUAACCUUUCA